rnacentral:rRNA from 1 species
AUUGAACGCUGGCGGCAGGCCUAACACAUGCAAGUCGAGCGGAUGAAGGGAGCUUGCUCCUGGAUUCAGCGGCGGACGGGUGAGUAAUGCCUAGGAAUCUGCCUGGUAGUGGGGGAUAACGUCCGGAAACGGGCGCUAAUACCGCAUACGUCCCGAGGGAGAAAGUGGGGGAUCUUCAGACCUCACGCUAUCAGAUGAGCCUAGGUCGGAUUAGCUAGUUGGUGGGGUAAAGGCCUACCAAGGCGACGAUCCGUAACUGGUCUGAGAGGAUGAUCAGUCACACUGGAACUGAGACACGGUCCAGACUCCUACGGGAGGCAGCAGUGGGGAAUAUUGGACAAUGGGCGAAAGCCUGAUCCAGCCAUGCCGCGUGUGUGAAGAAGGUCUUCGGAUUGUAAAGCACUUUAAGUUGGGAGGAAGGGCAGUAAGUUAAUACCUUGCUGUUUUGACGUUACCAACAGAAUAAGCACCGGCUAACUUCAUG